rnacentral:rRNA from 1 species
AGUGAACGCUGGCGGCAGGCCUAACACAUGCAAGUCGAACGGUAGCACGAUAAGACUUGGUGUUUAGCGGUGGCGAGGGGCGGGGGUGUGAGAUGUACAGCAAAAUCCACUUUGUCGGGGGAGAACUCGUGGAAACGGUUACGAUAACCGCAUAUACUACCAACGGGAAAAAGCAGGAGAUCUUGGCACCUUGCGCGAUGCUAUGAGCCGAUGUCGGAUUAGCUAAGGGGGGGGGUAAGGGCACACCGAGGCGACGCCCCGUAGCUGGUCUGAGAGGAUGAUCAGCCACACUGGAACUGAGACACGGUCCAGACUCCUACGGGAGGCAGCAGUGGGGAAUAUUGCACAAUGGGCGCAAGCCUGAUGCAGCCAUGCCGCGUGUGUGAAGAAGGCCUUCGGGUUGUAAAGCACUUUUAUUGGGGAAGAAGAGAGGCAGGUUAAUACCUUGGCGUAUUGACGGUACCCAAAGAAUAAGCACCGGCUAACUCCGUG